rnacentral:rRNA from 1 species
GACGAACGCUGGCGGCGUGCUUAACACAUGCAAGUCGAACGGUGAAGCGCCUUCCUUUUUGGUGGGUGUGGAUGAGUGGCGAACGGGUGAGUAACACGUGAGUAACCUGCCCCCUUCUUCUGGAUAACCGCAUGAAAGUGUGGCUAAUACGGGAUAUUCUGGGUCUGUCGCAUGAUGGGUCUGGGAAAGAUAUUGUUUCGGUGGGGGAUGGGCUCGCGGCCUAUCAGCUUGUUGGUGGGGUGAUGGCCUACCAAGGCGGGGCCGGGUAGCCGGCCUGAGAGGGUGGACGGUCACACUGGGACUGGGACACGGCCCAGACUCCUACGGGAGGCAGCAGUGGGGAAUAUUGCACAAUGGGCGCAAGCCUGAUGCAGCGACGCCGCGUGAGGGAUGGAGGCCUUCGGGUUGUGAACCUCUUUCGCCAGUGAAGCAGGCCUGCCUCGUUUGUGGGUGGGUUGACGGUAGCUGGAUAAGAAGCGCCGGCUAACUACGUG